rnacentral:rRNA from 1 species
GCGCAGCAGGCGAGAAACCUCCGCAAUGCGGGAAACCGUGACGGGGUCACCCCGAGUGCCACCCGAUGAGGGUGGCUUUUCCCCGGUCUAAAAAGCCGGGGGCAAUAAGCGGGGGGCAAGUCUGGUGUCAGCCGCCGCGGUAAUACCAGCCCCGCGAGUGGUCGGGACGUUUAUUGGGCCUAAAGCGUCCGUAGCCGGCUCGGUAAGUCCCUCCUUAAAUCCACGGGCUCAACCCGUGGGCUGGGAGGGAUACUGCCGGGCUAGGGGGCGGGAGAGGCCGAGGGUACCCCGGGUAGGGGCGGAAAUCCGUUAAUCCCGGGAGGGACCACCCAGUGGCGAAGGCGCUCGGCGUGGAACGCGCCCGACCGGUGAGGGACGAAAGCGUGGGGGAGGCAAAGGGGAGUUA